AUGUGUGUACCGAAAAGAGAGGGAGGUAUGGGAUUUAGAGAUAUUCAUUGUUUCAAUUUAGCUCUCUUAGCUAAGCAGGCGUGGAGGCUUAUUGAGAACCCGGAUUCUUUGUGUGCCCGGAUUCUGAGAGCAAAAUACUUCCCGGAUGGUGAUUUAUUAAAUUGCAUGUUAAAGAAGAAUGCCUCAUUUACAUGGCAAAGCAUAAUGCAAGGUGUGAAUACUUUGAGACAUGGAUAUAUUUGGAGAGUAGGAGAUGGUGGAAACAUUAAUAUCUGGAGGGAUGCUUGGAUCCCAAACUCUCCAUCCAGAAUGAUUAUCACACCUAGGGGAGGCCAUUUGAUUUCUAAGGUGAGUGGCUUAAUUGAUCCAUCAACGGGUCAGUGGGAUGUCGACCUUGUUGAGCAAACUUUUUGGCCCAUUGAUGCGGUAAGGGUUCUUGCUAUACCAUUAUCGACAAACGAUAUGACUGAUUUUAUUGCUUGGAGUCUGAAUAAGCAUGGA
rnacentral:rRNA from 1 species